rnacentral:lncRNA from 1 species
CUUCCUCGAUUUAGACUCUGCUGAGGGGAUCGAGGAGGGAUUUGAGAGGGUGGUAGCUGCACUUGUCCAAGCUACUGAAUAGCACCGACUGCCAUCGUCAAUGCUCGGACCUGAUCAACCAGUAAGGCAAACUGGUCUUGAGUAACACCUUGGGCCGGCUGCAUUGGUAGCGAAGGGACCAGUUGUUGUGGUAUUGGUGCAUUAUUUUCUCCGACACCAGUGGUGGUUCGAGAGGCA